GCUGGGUGUUGGGGAUGCACACCUGUAAUCUCAACUCUUUGGGAGGCUGAGGCAGAAGGAUGGAAAGUUUAAGGCCAGCCUCAACAACUUUACAAGACUCUGUCUUAA
rnacentral:sRNA from 1 species